rnacentral:rRNA from 1 species
GAUGAACGCUAGCGGCAGGCCUAACACAUGCAAGUCGAGGGGCAGCACAGAAACAGCAAUGUUUUGGUGGCGACCGGCGGACGGGUGCGUAACGCGUAUGCAACCUACCUUUAACAGGGGGAUAACGGAGAGAAAUUUCCACUAAUACCCCAUAACAUCGAUCAAGGCAUCUUGAUUGGUCGAAAACUCCGGUGGUUAAAGAUGGGCAUGCGUUGUAUUAGGUAGUUGGUGAGGUAAUGGCUCACCAAGCCUACGAUACAUAGGGGGACUGAGAGGGUAGGCCCCCACACUGGUACUGGGACACGGACCAGGCUCCUACGGGAGGCAGGAGUGAGGAAUAUUGGUCAAUGGGGGCAACCCUGGACCAGCCAUGCCGCGUGCAGGAAGACGGCUCUAUGAGUUGUAAACUGCUUUUAAACAGGGAUAAAGCACAGUAUGUAUACUGUGUUAAAGGUACUGUAAGAAUAAGGAUCGGCUAACUCCGUGCCAGCCGCCGCAGUAA